ACAUAGGGUGCAAGCGUUGUCCGGAAUUAUUGGGCGUAAAGAGCUCGUAGGUGGUUCGAUACGUCGGAUGUGAAAAUCAGGGGCUCAACCCCUGACCUGCAUCCGAUACGGUCGAGCUAGAGUUUGGUAGGGGAGACUGGAAUUCCUGGUGUAGCGGUGGAAUGCGCAGAUAUCAGGAGGAACACCGAUGGCGAAGGCAGGUCUCUGGGCCAAUACUGACACUGAGGAGCGAAAGCGUGGGGAGCGAACAGGAUUAGAUACCCUGGUAGUCCACGCCGUAAACGGUGGGCGCUAGUUGUGCGAACCUUCCACGGUUUGUGCGACGCAGCUAACGCAUUAAGCGCCCCGCCUGGGGAGUACGAUCGCAAGAUUA
rnacentral:rRNA from 1 species